GGCGUACGGGUGAGUAACACGUGGGUAAUCUGCCCUGCACUCUGGGAUAAGCCCGGGAAACUGGGUCUAAUACCGGAUAUGACCUUCGUAGGCAUCUACGGGGGUGGAAAGUUCCGGCGGUGCAGGAUGAACCCGCGGCCUAUCAGCUUGUUGGUGGGGUAGUGGCCUACCAAGGCGACGACGGGUAGCCGGCCUGAGAGGGCGACCGGCCACACUGGGACUGAGACACGGCCCAGACUCCUACGGGAGGCAGCAGUGGGGAAUAUUGCGCAAUGGGCGAAAGCCUGACGCAGCGACGCCGCGUGAGGGAUGACGGCCUUCGGGUUGUAAACCUCUUUCGCCAGGGACGAAGCGUGAGUGACGGUACCUGGAAAAGAAGCACCGGCUAACUACGUGCCAGCAGCCGCGGUAAUACGUAGGGUGCGAGCGUUGUCCGGAAUUAUUGGGCGUAAAGAGCUCGUAGGCGGUUUGUUGCGUCGGCCGUGAAAACUUCACGCUUAACGUGGAGCUUGCGGUCGAUACGGGCAGACUUGAGUUCGGUAGGGGAGACUGGAAUUCCUGGUGUAGCGGUGAAAUGCGCAGAUAUCAGGAGGAACACCGGUGGCGAAGGCGGGUCUCUGGGCCGAUACUGACGCUGAGGAGCGAAAGCGUGGGGAGCGAACAGGAUUAGAUACCCUGGUAGUCC
rnacentral:rRNA from 1 species